rnacentral:tRNA from 1 species
GCCCCUAUAGCUCAAUUGGCAGAGCAAUUGACUCUUAAUCAAUAGGUUCUAGGUUCGAUUCCUAGUGGGGGCACUA